AUGAUGAAUAAGUUUUUUGAUUUUGCGUAUGUUGAACCAGCCUUGCAUCCCUGGGAUGAAUCCUACUUGAUCAUGAUGAAUAAGUUUUUUGAUUUGCUGUUGCAAUCGGCUUGCCAAUAUUUUAUUGAAGAUUUUUGCAUCUAUGUUCAUCAUGGAUAUUGGCCUGAAGUUUUCUUUUCUCGUUGGGUCUCUGCCGGGUUUUGGUAUCAGGAUGAUAUUGGUCUCAUAAAAUUAUUUGGGAAGGAUUCCCUCUUUUUGGAUUGUUUGAAAUAGUUUUAGAAGGAAUGGUACCAGCUCCUCCUUGUGUGUCUGGUAGAAUUCGGCUGUGAACCCAUCUGGGCCUGGGCUUUUUUUGUGAGGUAGGCUCUUAAUUGCUGCCUCAACUUCAGACCUUGUUAUUGGUCUAUUCAUAGUUUCAGCUUCCUCCUGGUUUAGGCUUGGGAGGACACAGGAGUCCAGGAAUUUAUCCAUUUCUUCCAGGUUUACUAGUUUAUGUGCAUAGAGUUGUUUGUAAUAUUCUCUGAUGAUGGUUUGAAUUUCUGUGGAAUCUGUAGUGAUUUCCCCUUUAUCAUUUUUUAUUGCAUCUAUUUGGUUGUUCUCUCUUUUAUUUUUAAUCAAUCUGGCUAGUGGUCUGUCUAUUUUGUUGAUCUUUUCAAAAAACCAGCUCUUGGAUUUAUUGAUUUUUUGAAGGGUUUUUCGUGUCUCAAUCUCCUUCAGCUCAGCUCUGAUCUUAGUAAUUUCUUGUCUUCUGCUGGGUUUUGAGUUUUUUUGAUCUUGCUCCUCUAGCUCUUUCAAUUUUGACGAUAGGGUGUCAAUUUUGGAUCUCUCCAUUCUCCUCAUAUGGGCACUUAUUGCUAUAUACUUUCCUCUAGAGACUGCUUUAAAUGUGUCCCAGAGGUUCUGGCACGUUGUGUCUUCAUUCUCAUUGGUUUCGAAGAACUUCUUUAUUUCUGCCUUCAUUUCGUUGUUUACCCAGUCAACAUUCAAGAGCCAGUUGUUCAGUUUCCAUGAAGCUGUGCGGUUCUGGGUCGGUUUCUGAAUUCUGAGUUCUAACUUGAUUGCACUAUGGUCUGAGAGGCUGUUUGUUAUGAUUUCAGUUGUUUUGCAUUUGUUGAGCAGUGCUUUACUUCCAAUUAUGUGGUCAAUUUUAGAGUAGGUGUGAUGUGGUGCUGAGAAGAAUGUGUAUUCUGUGGAUUUGGGGUGGAGAGUUCUGUAAAUGUCCACCAGGUUUGCUUGCUCCAGGUCUGAGUUCAAGCCCUGGGUAUCCUUGUUGAUUUUCUGUCUGGUUGAUCUGUCUAGUAUUGACAGUGGAGUGUUAAAGUCUCCCACUAUUAUUGUGUGGGAGUCUAAGUCCUUCUGUAAGUCAUUAAGAACUUGCCUUAUGUAUCUGGGUGCUCCUGUGUUGGGUCCAUAUAUGUUUAGGAUCGUUAGCUCUUCUUGUUGUAUCGAUCCUUUUACCAUUAUGUAAUGGCCUUCUUUGUCUCUUUUGAUCUUUGUUGCUUUAAAGUCUAUUUUAUCAGAGAUGAGAAUUGCAACUCCUGCUUUUUUUUGCUUUCCAUUAGCUUGGUAAAUCUUCCUCCAUCCCUUUAUUUUGAGCCUUUGUGUAUCCUUGCAUGUGAGAUGGGUUUCCUGGAUACAGCACACUGAUGGGUUUUGGAUUUUUAUCCAAUUUGCCAGUCUGUGUCUUUUGAUUGGUGCAUUUAGUCCAUUUACAUUUAGGGUUAAUAUUGUUAUGUGUGAAUUUGAUACUGCCAUUUUGAUUCUAAGUGGCUGUUUUGCCUGUUAGUUGUUGUAGAUUCUUCAUUAUGUUGAAGCUCUUUAGCAUUCCGUGUGAUUUUGGAAUGGCUGGUACUGAUUGAUCCUUUCUAUGUGUAGUGCCUCUUUUAGAAGCUCUUGUAAAGCAGGCGGAAAUGAAUUUUUAAAUGAGA
rnacentral:lncRNA from 1 species